CUGGACCUUAGCCUGUCCGCAGGCGCCCUGCUGGGGCCUCGUUAAUUUUCCACACUGCACUGGGUAGUACCAGAGAAAGCAGAGAGUGCUCUGGCUGCAGGUUCUACCCACCUUUUCCUCUGGGAACGUAGCAGGAAAGGACAGAGAAAGAAAUUCGGUUUUUCAAAGCCUCGAAACUUAACUUCUCAUUUUCCUCCCCGCACAAGAAACGUGGACAUAAAAGAAGUCUGCUGAAUGUGACUAGAGAACUGUCAGAGUCUGAGCUGUAGAGAGCUACGGUAUGCGCUGUGACUUGGAGGAUGACUUCUGGGUCAGCUGGAACUACUUCCUUGUAUAGUAGGUUAAGAGAUUCCUAAGUAAAGAAUUAAUGUAAUUAGACUCUAAAAUCUUGAACAUCUUCAAUCUUCUGUAUUAUUUCUUCUGAUUGAAUGAAAUUUACUGCUUAGUCUUCCCCUUACCUUAUUUUUGCCAUCUGUUGGCUUUUCUAUCUCACCAUUUUGUCCACUUUGGGUGGUGUUCAGAAUUUUUAAUCUCUCCCAUCUCAUCAGCAUCUUUUAGCUAGGCACAGGAAAUAAUGGGCUCAAUUUUUUGAAUUAUUUCAGGUUUCUUAAGUUUAACACUCAGUUAAUUUCAACUACAGAUCAACCACCACAUGUGAAUAUUUUAAGCCAACGGCCUUUCUACUUAUAAUUUCUUGGAUUCCUUCAUGAUUUCUGUCCCAUACCUUACGAAGAUGUGCUGUCCCUUCAUUAUGGCUUUCAAUCUUUUGACCUCUUAAUGUUUCUUAAUGGUUUCUGUUCAAUGCCUUUGUUUACAAAAAUUUUCCUGUUUUGAAUUUUUUUUUCAAAAAAUUGAACUGUGAAAAUACUUUAACCAUAUACAAACUGUCCUGGAGACCAUUGAUUUGAACCAUCCUCUUAUCUCUUCAAAU
rnacentral:lncRNA from 1 species